UGGGGAAUAUUGGACAAUGGGCGCAAGCCUGAUCCAGCCAUGCCGCGUGAGUGAUGAAGGCCCUAGGGUUGUAAAGCUCUUUCACCGGUGAAGAUAAUGACGGUAACCGGAGAAGAAGCCCCGGCUAACUUCGUGCCAGCAGCCGCGGUAAUACGAAGGGGGCUAGCGUUGUUCGGAUUUACUGGGCGUAAAGCGCACGUAGGCGGACUUUUAAGUCAGGGGUGAAAUCCCGGGGCUCAACCCCGGAACUGCCUUUGAUACUGGAAGUCUUGAGUAUAGUAGAGGUGAGUGGAAGUCCGAGUGUAGAGGUGAAAUUCGUAGAUAUUCGGAGGAACACCAGUGGCGAAGGCGGCUCACUGGACCAUUACUGACGCUGAGGUGCGAAAGCGUGGGGAGCAAACAGG
rnacentral:rRNA from 1 species